AGUUUUGCACAGUGGCAGUAUUGUAGCCAAUGAGGUUUACCUGAGGCGCGAUUAUUGCCAGUAAAUAUAUGUAAAACCCU
rnacentral:snRNA from 1 species